rnacentral:rRNA from 1 species
AUGAACGCUGAAAGUAUGCAUUACACAUGCGAGUUUGUUACUAUAAAAAAUAAUAAGCGUACGGGUGCGUAAUACAGAGGUAUGAUUGUCCAGAAAUUGAGGAGCAACUCAAAGGGUACAAACCGUUUCUGGGUUAACUUUUGGAGGAUCAGGAUGUUGGUGUGGUAGCGGCACACCUAGCCACAGACCCUUAGCUGUGUUGAAAGAUGGUACAGCCACAUUGGAACUGAGAUAAGGUCUAAGCUUUGUUUAAAGCCUGCAGUGGGGAAUUCUGGGCAAUGGGCGAAAGCCUGACCCGGCAAUACUUUGGGAUGACGAAGAGCUUUUGUAAAAUCCUAGUUUAUUUUUUUAUCAUGAAAAAAAAUAAAAUUCAGCCCCGGCAAAUUUCUGU